CCCUGGUAUGUUACUCUUGCUCCAACUCCCCCUCUGGAACACCCUAAGCAGAAAGAAACUCCUUUGCUGCCCUGGUGUUUAUAGUAGCAACAGAAAAGUGGCUUAUGUAAGUUUCCAGAGAACAUACGAGGACCUUGGAAGGCCUGGUGCUGUUUCUCUCAAUGGCAGCUGACUUGGCAGAAGGUACACGGGAAUUUACUUCUCUGUUCCAAGCGUCGACACCACCUGUGACAUUCCUAAGAUUUCUUUUUGUAAAAAUUAAAUCUCCUGCUCUGGCUUGGAACAUUUCUACUCGUAAUGGCUACAUAUGGACACUGAGCUGAGUAGUGUUCCAUUGUAUAUAUGUGCAUCGAUUCAUCCAUGGAAGAACAUUCAGGUUUGCCUCUCCCAGGCAGGAACCCCCUUAUUGGUUAUCCAAUACAAGUCAUCAGCCUUGAUACCAUUUACAAAACAAACUCGGCAGACUGUAUUAAUCUAUUUAUGUAUGUAUGUAUGUAUAUCAAAGAGAAAAGCUAUCAACUUGAGGGCGGUGCCAUGGGAGGGGUUGGAGGGAGCAAAGGAGGGGGAAAACCGGUGUGAUUCUGUUUCAAUUAAAAUAUAUUUUUUAAAAACU
rnacentral:lncRNA from 1 species